AAAAGAUUGUGUUUGAAUGAUAAAUAUUUAUAUAUCCUUAAUUAGAGGUAUCAAUUUCAAAUCUCUAAUAUGUGGUCGUUCUUGAUAGAUAACGCUUUACUAAAUCUAAAUUGGGACUUUUCGAUGAGAACCUGAAUCGACUGAACUUCAAUACAAAUACCAAACAUCAAAUGAAGAAUCAAAAAGUAUAGUUAUUAUA
rnacentral:lncRNA from 1 species